rnacentral:lncRNA from 1 species
GGAGGGAACUUUCCCAGUCCCCGAGGCGGAUCCGGUGUUGCAUCCUUGGAGCGAGCUGAGAGCUCGAGGUGAGCUGGGCUCGCGGUCGCCCCUCUCGCGCGCCCUCUUUAAGAACCACGGCGUCCAACCUCCCUGGAAAUGGGGGGAACAUGGCCGAGGCGCGUGGCGAGGCCGCCUCGUGGAGGCCCCGGAGCGGCAUCCUCAGCGCCCCAGCGAUCCGGUGCCCAUUAGAACCUGCUAAGGCCAUCAAACCUAUUGAUCGGAAGUCAGUCCAUCAGAUUUGCUCUGGGCCGGUGGUACCGAGUCUAAGCACUGCGGUGAAGGAGUUAGUAGAAAACAGUCUGGAUGCUGGUGCCACUAAUAUUGAUCUAAAGCUUAAGGACUAUGGAGUGGAUCUCAUUGAAGUUUCAGGCAAUGGAUGUGGGGUAGAAGAAGAAAACUUCGAAGGCUUAACUCUGAAACAUCACACAUCUAAGAUUCAAGAGUUUGCCGACCUACCUCAGGUUGAAACUUUUGGCUUUCGGGGGGAAGCUCUGAGCUCACUUUGUGCACUGAGUGAUGUCACCAUUUCUACCUGCCAUGUAUCGGCGAAGGUUGGGACUCGACUGGUGUUUGAUCACUAUGGGAAAAUCAUCCAGAAAACCCCCUACCCCCACCCCAGAGGGAUGACAGUCAGUGUGAAGCAGUUAUUUUCUACGCUACCUGUGCACCAUAAAGAAUUUCAAAGGAAUAUUAAGAAGUGAGUGAGCGCUCAUGGGAUCUGGUUGUUUAGAAGCAUGCACCACCUCCCGCUUCACUCUCUCUGUCUCUCCUGCUCCACCAUGGCCAGAAACGUGCCUGCUUCCCCUUCGCCUUCUGCCGUGAUUGUCAGUUUCCUGAGGCCUCCCCAGCCAUGCUUCCUGUACAGCCUGCAGAACUGUGAGUCAAUUAAACCUGUUUUCUUCAUAAA